CCCUUAGAUGUUCUGGGCCGCACGCGCGCUACACUGAUCGAUUCAACGAGUUUUGAAAUAAUUUUUUGAUUUUUUCAUAUCCUUUGUCGGAAGGCAUGGGUAAUCUUUUAAAUGUCGAUCGUGAUGGGGCUAGAUUCUUGCAAUUAUUAAUCUCCAACGAGGAAUUCCUAGUAAACGCAAGUCAUCAGCUUGCAUUGAUUACGUCCCUGCCCUUUGUACACACCGCCCGUCGCACCUACCGAUUGGAUGGUCCGGUGAAGCCUCGGGAUUGUGGUUCUUGCCGCUUUAUUGUGGCGUGACCGCGAGAACUUGUCUAAACCUUAUCAUCUAGAGGAAGGUGAAGUCGUAACA
rnacentral:rRNA from 1 species